CCUACGGGUGGCAGCAGUAGGGAAUCUUUCACAAUGGGCGAAAGCCUGAUGGAGCAACGCCGCGUGCAGGAUGAAGGCCUUCGGGUUGUAAACUGCUUUUAUAAGCGAGAAAUAUGAUGGUAACUUAUGAAUAAGGAUCGGCUAACUACGUGCCAGCAGCCGCGGUCACACGUAGGAUCCGAGCAUUAUCCGGAGUGACUGGGUGUAAAGAGUUGCGUAGGUGGCAUAAUAAGUAGCUAGUGAAAUCUGGUGGCUCAACCAUUCAGACUAUUAGCUAAACUGUUAAGCUCGAGACCGUUAGGGGUAACUGGAAUUUCUAGUGUAGGAGUGAAAUCCGUAGAUAUUAGAAGGAACACCAAUAGCGUAGGCAGGUUGCUGGGACGGGUCUGACACUAAGGCACGAAAGCGUAGGGAGCAAACGGGAUUAGAUACCCGAGUAGUC
rnacentral:rRNA from 1 species